UACGUAGGUGGCAAGCGUUGUCCGGAAUUAUUGGGCGUAAAGCGCGCGCAGGCGGCCUUUUAAGUCUGAUGUGAAAGCCCACGGCUCAACCGUGGAAGGUCAUUGGAAACUGAAAGGCUUGAGUACAGAAGAGGAAAGCGGAAUUCCACGUGUAGCGGUGAAAUGCGUAGAGAUGUGGAGGAACACCGACGGCGUAGGCAGCGCCCUAGACGAGACCUGACGCUCAGGCACGAAAGCGCGGGGAGCGAACAGG
rnacentral:rRNA from 1 species